rnacentral:misc_RNA from 1 species
GAAAUGCGAUAAGUAAUGUGAAUUGCAGAAUUCAGUGAAUCAUCGAAUCUUUGAACGCACCAUGCGCUCCUUGGUAUUCCUUGGAGCAUGCCUGUUUGAGUAUCAUGAAAUCUUCAAAGUAAAUAUUUUGUUAACUCAAUUGGUUUCUACUUUGGUAUUGGAGGUCUUUGCAGCUUCACACCUGCUCCUCUUUGUUCAUUAGCUGGAUCUCAGUGUUAUGCUUGGUUCCACUCGGCGUGAUAAGUUAUCUAUCGCUGAGGACACUGUAAAAGGUGGCCAAGGUAAAUGCAGAUGAACCGCUUCUAAUAGUCCAUUGACUUGGACAAUACUUUUAUGAUCUGAUCUCAAAUCAGGUAGGACUACCCGCUGAACUUAAGC